rnacentral:tRNA from 1 species
GCGGGUAUGAUGUAGUUGGUGUAGCAUAGCAGACUUCAGCUCUGUUCGUACGGGUUCGAGUCCCGUUACCCGCU